UACGGGGGGGGCAAGCGUUGUUCGGAAUUACUGGGCGUAAAGGGCUCGUAGGCGGCCAACUAAGUCGGAUGUGAAAUCCCCAGGCUUAACCUGGGAACUGCAUCCGAUACUGGAUGGCUUGAAUCCGGGAGAGGGAUGCGGAAUUCCAGGUGUAGCGGUGAAAUGCGUAGAUAUGACAUAGAACACCAAUUGCGAAGGCAGCUCACUACACGAAUAUUGACACUGAGGCACGAAAGCGUGGGGAUCAAACAGG
rnacentral:rRNA from 1 species